ACCUGGGUGGCUCAGUCGGUUGAGCGGCCGACUUCGGCUCGGGUCAUGAUCUCACAUUCCGUGAGUUCGAGCCCCGCUUCGGGCU
rfam:Felis catus breed Abyssinian Contig47776.1, whole genome shotgun sequence. [26-MAY-2016]